rnacentral:rRNA from 1 species
UGGGGAAUUUUCCGCAAUGGGCGAAAGCCUGACGGAGCAAGACCGCGUGGGGGAAGAAGGCUCUUGGGUUGUAAACCCCUUUUCUCUGGGAAGAAAGUUGUGAAAGCAACCUGACGGUACCAGAGGAAUCAGCAUCGGCUAACUCCGUGCCAGCAGCCGCGGUAAGACGGAGGAUGCAAGCGUUAUCCGGAAUGAUUGGGCGUAAAGCGUCCGCAGGUGGCAGUUCAAGUCUGCUGUCAAAGACCGGGGCUUAACUUCGGAAAGGCAGUGGAAACUGAACAGCUAGAGUAUGGUAGGGGCAGAGGGAAUUCCUGGUGUAGCGGUGAAAUGCGUAGAGAUCAGGAAGAACAUCGGUGGCGAAGGCGCUCUGCUGGACCAUAACUGACACUCAGGGACGAAA